UACGAAGGGGGCUAGCGUUGCUCGGAAUCACUGGGCGUAAAGGGUGCGUAGGCGGGUCUUUUAAGUCAGGGGUGAAAUCCUGGAGCUCAACUCCAGAACUGCCUUUGAUACUGAGGAUCUUGAGUUCGGGAGAGGUGAGUGGAACUGCGAGUGUAGAGGUGAAAUUCGUAGAUAUUCGCAAGAACACCAGUGGCGAAGGCGGCUCACUGGCCCGAUACUGACGCUGAGGCACGAAAAGCGUGGGGAGCAACAGGG
rnacentral:rRNA from 1 species